rnacentral:lncRNA from 1 species
CUGAAAAUGUGACCGGUUUUGCGAGGGCUGUGCAAACUCUUGCGGCUUGUAUUGACCGUUGAUAAAAGCUGCCUAAGACUACCGGACUGUAUACGUUGUAAUGGUUACGAUGUCAUGGACGACCGAAGUUGAGGGGCUUCGGGGUAAGUGGACAACUAGAUGAUGUGGGAAAAGGAGGCGAAGAGAAUACGGUCAGGAGCUGCAGCAGGCAGGUAAAUCAUCAAAAAUUCAGUUCCUGAAACUAAUGAAAAAAACAAUCUCACUAUAGUCCAGAGGGGAAAUGGUUCUCUGACGCAAGCCUGAUGGCGAUUCUAUUUGUCUGGGUAUUUUUCCGGACUAUCAAAAAAGUUACUUCGAGAUUCAGCCAAAUGUUUUGACUGGGAGACCGAAAACGCGACGAAGCGUUUCCUGCUGUAACGCCCGGUGAGCCGCGGGCCCCGGACUGAGCGCUCCGCGAGUCGCGCGCUGCCCGCAUGGGGCUGUUAUAAAGGACUUUCCCCCGCGGCCCUGGUAGAGGCGAGCCCGAGGAGCCCGAGGUCUGCCGACCGGGACAGCUGAGGUUCCACGUGGGGACUGACUUUAGCCUUUCUUGGGAGGAACACUCUUUCGGUCCUGUUUUGGAAGGGGAAAUGGGUGCAGCUCUCUGCGAAACUGUCAAGAGUCCCCAUCACUCCACAAACUUGGAAACUGGACGUUCUAAACUUUCUUCCCCGAGUUCAUUUCUACCUACUUUACCAGCUCUGAAGGACUACUGGCCGAGGGGCGCUACUUGAGAUGAUUUUUUUUUCUUCCACGUUGACUAGAGAAACUAUGCGGCGGGUUCCGAAAGCGACUUGCAGACCUCAGCGGCCCGGGCUCGGCGUGGCGUACUGCCCGCCCCUCCGCUCCCGCCCAGCCCCGCUCGGGGAGAAGCCCGAGGGGGAGUAUCUUUACCUCUGGCCAGAACUCGGUGCCAAGGCGCUCUCCUGACAUAACCCUGUCCAGGGGAGCCGACACGCUCAAUAACCAGUUCGACUCCUCUGCUGCCAGCCCCAGCCCCGUCCGUCCGGCGUGUUCCUUGGAACCAGCCCCUAUAACAGAGGAUCUCGCCUCACGUCUCCCCUGGCUCCCAGUUUUGCUGGCUUCUUUCCGACUCGUACACCCCUACCCUUCUUCUUCCGCCGACUAGGGUCGAACUCUGGCACCACUCCUCCCGCCCACCCCACCGCGCCAUUUUAACCCUUUGGAGGUUUUCCUGGGCCGUGGGGCGGGAAACUGAGAAGGUCCAUCUUCCUCAACUCUCCCCACCCUCUAGCUCCCCCCUGGGUCACUCCUGAAGCAGUCUGGAGGGGAUUGUGAAACCACCAGUAGUGGGCUGGGUUGGGGAGGGACAAGCUACCUCCGGGCUGCGGAACCUUUGGCAAAGUCUCGGGAACACUUGUGCUCCCCCAGGAUAGCUCCCUUCGCCUCACGGCGAGCGUGGGGUGUCCGAGUUUCUUGGCACUGACUGCAAAGAGCCUCUCCCUUUCCCUAGCGCCUUUAAGGACAUCUGAUCUGCAGCCUCAAACUUUCUCCUCGGGUCGAAAAGCUUCCUCAGGCCGCUGAGAGCGACCCCAGGCGAGGCCCGGAAGGGAGCGCGCUGAUGUGGGGUUAACCAAAGCCUGGCGCCCAGAGGUCGGCUGAGGCCCUGCGGGUCGAGGCCAGGCGCGCUGUUUGCAAGAGGGAGCCCCAGGGGACCCGCGCGGGACGCAUAGCCGCAGCUGAAACAGGCGUUCCCUUUUCCAGAUCAUGUUCCUCAUAAAAUCUAAAGCCAGAUGCAUCGCUUGGGCAUGUUCCCAUUUCACCGUGAAAGGGACAGAUUUGUUUCCAAACUGGACUCCAAAUCGAGGUUUAUAUUGCGGGAUCCAUUAGCGUGCGCAAAGCUGGGGCUUUCGAUGACUCUGGGGAUGGCUAGGGUGGAUAACGUUGGAGGGACUAAAGUCUGAACCAAGCUCAGGCAAAGCAUCAUUUGUGAAC